UGCCAGCAGCCGCGGUAAUACGGAGGGUGCGGGCGUUAAUCGGAAUUAUUGGGCGUAAAGAGCUUGUAGGUGGCUUGUCGCGUCUGCCGUGAAAACCCGAGGCUCAACCUCGGGCGUGCGGUGGGUACGGGCAGGCUAGAGUGUGGUAGGGGAGACUGGAACUCCUGGUGUAGCGGUGAUAUGCGCAGAUAUCAGGAAGAACACCGAUGGCGAAGGCAGGUCUCUGGGCCAUUACUGACACUGAGAAGCGAAAGCAUGGGGAGCGAACAGGAUUAGAUA
rnacentral:rRNA from 1 species